rnacentral:rRNA from 1 species
UACGUAGGGUGCGAGCGUUAAUCGGAAUUACUGGGCGUAAAGCGUGCGCAGGCGGUUUUGCAAGUCAGAUGUGAAAUCCCCGGGCUCAACCUGGGAACUGCAUUUGUGACUGCACGGCUGGAGUGCGGCAGAGGGGGAUGGAAUUCCGCGUGUAGCAGUGAAAUGCGUAGAUAUGCGGAGGAACACCGAUGGCGAAGGCAAUCCCCUGGGCCUGCACUGACGCUCAUGCACGAAAGCGUGGGGAGCAAACAGG